rnacentral:rRNA from 1 species
GAUGAACGCUAGCUACAGGCUUAACACAUGCAAGUCGAGGGCAGCAUUAGGUAGCAAUACUGAGGUGGCGACCGGCGCACGGGUGCGUAACGCGUAUCCAACCUUCCCGAUACUCUUGGAUAGCCUUCCGAAAGGGAGAUUAAUACAAGAUGGUGUUUCACUUUCGCAUGUUAUUGAAACUAAAGAUUUAUCGGUAACGGAUGGGGAUGCGUGACAUUAGAUAGUAGGCGGGGUAACGGCCCACCUAGUCUACGAUGUCUAGGGGUUCUGAGAGGAAGGUCCCCCACACUGGAACUGAGACACGGUCCAGACUCCUACGGGAGGCAGCAGUGAGGAAUAUUGGUCAAUGGUCGGAAGACUGAACCAGCCAAGUAGCGUGAAGGAUGAAGGUUCUAUGGAUUGUAAACUUCUUUUAUACGGGAAUAAAACCUCCCACGUGUGGGAGCUUGUAUGUACCGUAUGAAUAAGCAUCGGCUAACUCCGUG